UACGGAGGGUGCGAGCGUUGUCCGGAAUCACUGGGCGUAAAGGGCGCGUAGGUGGCUUGGCAAGCGUGUGGUGAAAGCCCGGGGCUCAACCCCGGGUCUGCCGUGCGAACUGCUAUGGCUUGAGCACUGUAGAGGCAGGUAGAAUUCCGGGUGUAGCGGUGGAAUGCGUAGAGAUCCGGAAGAAUACCGGUGGCGAAGGCGGCCUGCUGGGCAGUGGCUGACACUGAGGCGCGACAGCGUGGGGAGCAAA
rnacentral:rRNA from 1 species